AGCUCCCAUGGCGCCUGUUUAUCAAAAACAUGGUUUCUUGGUAUAAUAAGAAAUCUGGCCUGCUCACUGCUUUAGUAAAGAGCCGCAGUAUUAUGACUGUGCUAAGGUAGCAUAAUCAUUUGUCUUUUAAAUGGAGACUAGUAUGAAAGGUUGGAUCGUAGAAAAUUCUGUCUCUUUAUUAAAAAGUGAAUUUAAUUAGGUAGUAAGAAGGCUAUCAUGAUGCUGAAAGACGAUAAGACCCUAUUAAGCUUAAUUUAAUAAUUUUACUGGGGCGGUAGGAUAAGAUUAGAAUCUUAUCUAUUGAAAAUGGAAUUUAGGACCCAAUAUUAUUGAGGAAUGGAUAAAGUUACUAUAGGGAUAACAGCUUAAUUUUUUCUUAAAGAUCUUAUUUAGGGAAAUGUUUGAGACCUCGAUGUUGAAUUAAAGUAUCUUAUAAACGCAGUAGUUUAUAUUGUGAGUCUGUUCGACUUUUGAAACUUUACGUGAUCUGAGUUCAGACCGGCC
rnacentral:rRNA from 1 species